rnacentral:lncRNA from 1 species
AGGAAUAAAAACUUAAUAACUUAAUCCUUUUUGUUUCAGAGAAAAUCUUGGUGGUUUUACAUGUGUUUCAAGCUUUUAUAGAAACAUUUAUAAAGACGGCAAUAAAUACAGUUAACUGGUGUGACUUGCUGUGGUAUCUAAAAUUUGCUUGUUGUUUUCAUACUGUUCAAGAAUGACAGAAACAGAUCAAACAGUCAAGGAAGCCCAGCUGUAUCUUGCUUGAGGCUCUUACCUAAUUUGCACCUGCUCACUGAUGGGCUUAAAAGUAUUUAUUUUGUCUUGCUUCCAGCCCAAAUACUGAGUUUUGAACGGAGAAAUCCUAUGCCUCACUGGUGACUUUUUUGUCUCAAUGGGAAUAGAAUGCCCACUCAACAUAAGUUUACAGACUGACAAGAAAAGGAGGCAAAUGGAUAAUACCAGGAAUUCUGUACACACGAAUAUACAGGUA